AGAGGUGGCAAGCGUUGUUCGGAAUUACUGGGCGUAAAGGGCGCGCAGGCGGUUUGCCAAGUCUCGUGUGAAAUCCCCCGGCUCAACUGGGGAACUGCGCGGGAUACUAGUGGACUUGAGUUCGGGAGAGGAAAGCGGAAUUCCGGGUGUAGCGGUGAAAUGCGCAGAUAUCCGGAGGAACACCAGUGGCGAAGGCGGCUUUCUGGACCGACACUGACGCUGAGGCGCGAAAGCUAGGGGAGCGAACGGGAUUAGAUACCCCGGUAGUCCUAGCCCUAAACGAUGAGCACUGGGUGUAGGGGGUAUGAACCCCCCCCCCCUGUGCCGAAGCUAACGCAUUAAGUGCUCCGCCUGGGGAGUACGGUCGCAAGGCUG
rnacentral:rRNA from 1 species